rnacentral:rRNA from 1 species
AUUGAACGCUGGCGGCAUGCCUUACACAUGCAAGUCGAACGGUAACGCGGGGCAACCUGGCGACGAGUGGCGAACGGGUGAGUAAUGCAUAAGAACGGGCCCAGCAGUGGGGGAUAGCCCGGCGAAAGCCGGAUUAAUACCGCAUACGACCUACGGGUGAAAGGGGGGGAUCGCAAGACCUCUCGCUAUUGGAGCGGCCGAUGUCAGAUUAGGUAGUUGGUGGGGUAAAGCCCCACCAAGCCGACGAUCUGUAGCUGGUCUGAGAGGACGACCAGCCACACUGGUACUGAGACACGGCCCAGACUCCUACGGGAGGCAGCAGUGGGGAAUUUUGGACAAUGGGCGCAAGCCUGAUCCAGCCAUGCCGCGUGCGGGAAGAAGGCCUUCGGGUUGUAAACCGCUUUUGUCAGGGAAGAAAUCUUUUGAGUUAAUACCUCGGAAGGAUGACGGUACCUGAAGAAUAAGCACCGGCUAACUACGUGCCAGCAGCCGCCGUAA